AACGCUGGCGGCGUGCUUAACACAUGCAAGUCGAACGGUGAAAGGGACCUCGCUUUUGUGGGUCCUUGGAUGAGUCGGCGAACGGGUGAGUAACACGUGAGUAACCUGCCCCCUUCUUCUGGAUAACCGCAUGAAAGUGUGGCUAAUACGGGAUAUUCUGUGCCUGCUGCAUGGUGGGUGUGGGAAAGAUGCGCCUUUGGGUGUUUUUGGUGGGGGAUGGGCUCGCGGCCUAUCAGCUUGUUGGUGGGGUGAUGGCCUACCAAGGCGGUGACGGGUAGCCGGCCUGAGAGGGUGGACGGUCACACUGGGACUGAGACACGGCCCAGACUCCUACGGGAGGCAGCAGUGGGGAAUAUUGCACAAUGGGCGCAAGCCUGAUGCAGCGACGCCGCGUGAGGGAUGGAGGCCUUCGGGUUGUAAACCUCUUUCGCCAGUGAAGCAGGCCUGUCCCUUGUGGUUGGGUUGACGGUAGCUGGAUAAGAAGCGCCGGCUAACUACGUGCCAGCAGCCGCGGUAAUACGUAGGGCGCGAGCGUUGUCCGGAAUUAUUGGGCGUAAAGAGCUCGUAGGCGGCUGGUCGCGUCUGUCGUGAAAUCCUCUGGCUUAACUGGGGGCUUGCGGUGGGUACGGGCCGGCUUGAGUGCGGUAGGGGAGACUGGAACUCCUGGUGUAGCGGUGGAAUGCGCAGAUAUCAGGAAGAACACCGGUGGCGAAGGCGGGUCUCUGGGCCGUUACUGACGCUGAGGAGCGAAAGCGUGGGGAGCGAACAGGAUUAGAUACCCUGGUAGUCCACGCCGUAAACGUUGGGCACUAGGUGUGGGGGGCCUUUUCCGGGUCUUCCGCGCCGUAGCUAACGCAUUAAGUGCCCCGCCUGGGGAGUACGGCCGCAAGGCUAAAACUCAAAGGAAUUGACGGGGGCCCGCACAAGCGGCGGAGCAUGCGGAUUAAUUCGAUGCAACGCGAAGAACCUUACCAAGGCUUGACAUGUGCCGGUCGGCUCCGGAGACGGGGUUUCCUCCUUGUGGGGCCGGUUCACAGGUGGUGCAUGGUUGUCGUCAGCUCGUGUCGUGAGAUGUUGGGUUAAGUCCCGCAACGAGCGCAACCCUUGUCCCGUGUCGCCAGCACGUUGUGGUGGGGACUCGCGGGAGACUGCCGGGGUCAACUCGGAGGAAGGUGGGGAUGACGUCAAAUCAUCAUGCCCCUUAUGUCUUGGGCUUCACGCAUGCUACAAUGGCCGGUACAGAGGGCUGCGAUACCGUGAGGUGGAGCGAAUCCCUUAAAGCCGGUCUCAGUUCGGAUCGGUGUCUGCAACUCGACACCGUGAAGUUGGAGUCGCUAGUAAUCGCAGAUCAGCAACGCUGCGGUGAAUACGUUCUCGGGCCUUGCACACACCGCCCGUCA
rnacentral:rRNA from 1 species